rnacentral:rRNA from 1 species
CCUACGGGAGGCAGCAGUGAGGAAUAUUGGUCAAUGGACGCAAGUCUGAACCAGCCAUGCCGCGUGCAGGAUGACGGCCCUAUGAGUUGUAAACUGCUUUUGUACGAGGGUAAACGCAGAUACGCGUAUCUGUCUGAAAGUAUCGUACGAAUAAGGAUCGGCUAACUCCGUGCCAGCAGCCGCGGUAAUACGGAGGAUUCAAGCGUUAUCCGGAUUUAUUGGGUUUAAGGGGUGCGUAGGCGGGCGGAUAAGUUAGAUGUGAAAUCCCGAGGCUCAACUUCGGAAUUGCCUCUGAUACUGUCCGGCUAGAGAGUAGUUGCGGUAGGCGGAAUGUAUGGUGUAGCGGUGAAAUGCUUAGAGAUCAUACAGAACACCGAUUGCGAAGGCAGCUUACCAAGCUACUUCUGACGUUGAGGCACGAAAGCGUGGGGAGCAAACAGGAUUAGAUACCCGAGUAGUC